rnacentral:rRNA from 1 species
UUCGGAUUGUAGGCUGCAACUCGCCUACAUGAAGCUGGAAUUGCUAGUAAUCAUAGGUCAGCAUACUAUGGUGAAUACGUUCCCGGGCCUUGUACACACCGCCCGUCACACCAUGAGAGUUGAGAAUACCCGAAGUCCAUGUUAAAGUGGCCGAAGGUAGGCUUGAUGAUUGGGGUGAAGUCGUAACAAGGUAAC